AUGGCUGAUGGUUACCGUGGGCAACGCUCUCCUCACACGCCGCAGGAGAAGUUUGAGGGUUUGACUGUUCUCAGAGCACUUAAGUUAGCUCAAGAUGGGCUGGUUGCAAGGUUGUUACACGAGAUCGGGGAGACUGUUAAAGUUCUGAUUGACCCGUACUUCAGAAGUCACUCUGUUCUCGACUUUGCUUACACACACUUGGAGUGCCGCUCCCAUCCCAGGGACACGUUCCUCUAAUAGGAACAGUCAUUCCCACAUAAACACACAUUAUUAACAGGGAUAAAAUCUUUCUUGGUGCAUAUAUGAUUUUAUGUAUAUGAAGGUCAUCAGGAGGGGCGUCCGGAUCUUUCUCAGUUCAUGUGGAUCACUGCAUCCUGGAGCCAGAAACCAGGCAGAAGAACCAGAGAAGCACCUGCUUACACUCAUCGAGAUCUCAGGUGCACAGUCGUGUACAAGAUAGAUGCACUGUAGGCAAAACACAAAAAAUAAAAAAUUAGGCUAAAUGAUAUUUUCCUCAAUCUGGAUAUGUUGUUUUCACUGAUUCACUUAAUUCAGAAGAUUCAAGAUUCAGAUGAUCAAAGGGUGUGGUAAAAAUUCAGAAUAGGACUUCAAGCUUCUAACACACAAAGUUACUAAACAUUUUACACUUAAUGUUAAUGACUGGCUACAGUUACUGCUGGAAAUGUUUAAUAUAAAGUGUAUAUAAACACUGCUUUACACACAAUCCCUUACUGACAACAUUUUU
rnacentral:lncRNA from 1 species